UGUUUACCGUAGAAGACUUCUGCCUCUGC
rnacentral:piRNA from 1 species